GCCGGGUGCGCCGGCGCAUGCCUUUAAUCCCACCUACUCGGUAGGCUGAGGUCGGAGGAUUACCUGAGCCCAGGAGUUCUGGGCUGUAGUGCGCUAUGCCGAUCGGGUGUCCGCACUAAGUUCAGCGUUAAUAUCGUGACCUCCCGGGGGCGAGGGACCACCAGAUUGCCUAAGGAGGGGUGAACCGGCACAGGUUGGAAACGGAGCAGGUUAAAACUCCAAUGCGGAUCAGUAGUAGGAUUGUGCCUGUGACUAGCCACUGCACUCCAGCCUGGGCAACAUAGUGAGACCCAUCUCA
rnacentral:SRP_RNA from 1 species